GACGCAACCCUUGUCCUUAGUUACCAGCACGUUAUGGUGGGCACUCUAAGGAGACUGCCGGUGGACAAACCGGAGGAAAGGUAGGGGAGUGACGUCAAGUCAUCAUGGCCCUUACGGCCUGGGCUACACACGUGCUACAAUGGUCGGUACAAAGGGUUGCCAAGCCGCGAGGUGGAGCUAAUCCCAUAAAACCGAUCGUAGUCCGGAUCGCAGUCUGCAACUCGACUGCGUGAAGUCGGAAUCGCUAGUAAUCGUGAAUCAGAAUGUCACGGUGAAUACGUUCCCGGGCCUU
rnacentral:rRNA from 1 species